GCCGGGCGCAGUGGCGCGUGCCUGUGGUCCCAGCUACCCAGGAGGCUGAGGUGGGAGGUUCACUUGAGCCCAGGAGUUCUGGGCUGUAGUGCAUUAUGCCAAUUGGGUGUCUGCACUAAGUUCGGCAUCAAUAUGGUGACUUCCUGGGAGCCAGGGACCACCAGGUUGCCUAAGGAGGGGUGAACUGGCCCAGGUCGGAAAUGGAGCAGGUCAAAACUCCUGUGCUGAUCAGUAGUGGGAUUGUGCCUGUGAAUAGCCACUGCACUCCAGCCUGGGCAACAUAGCGAGACCCCAUCUCU
rnacentral:SRP_RNA from 1 species